AAAAAGAAAUAAAAAUAAUUUGCAUUAUUAAAGGUUCAGAUAUAAAACCAAACAAAGAAUAGUGAGGUAAAAGAGUCUUGCAGGCAAGCCACUACAAAUGGGAAACACUCCCUAUAUCCCUCCAAAAACCAGUGCACAAAGAAAACUGUAUAGUAACAAAGUUAAAAUACAGUGUAGGGCGCCACUAUCACAAACUGAGUGGUAGAUAUAAUUACCAUCUGAAAGAUGAGUAUGAAAACAUCAUAGUGCAAACUUUAAUAACAAGAAAUGAUAAAACAAAUAAAAUUGAAACCAUCAAUAUGUGCACAUGCGCUUUUGCCUCAAAUAGGCUGAUUCCCCAGGUAUAACAGUCUGCAGUUGUAGUCUUCUGUGUCCACAGAUCUUCCUUCACUGACAGUCAGUAGGAUUGAACGGUUAUUACACCACCAGAUGCUGAAAUCCUUUGGGGGCUCAGGAUAUGCUCAACGUGUUUCGUCUCUCUCUUCAUACUGCGUCAGGAGCUUGUUCUCUCUUCUAAAACCGGCGUUUAAAUAUCGCGGGCCGCGUCCCAUCAAUGUGUAUGCUCAUGCGCGACGGCGCACCUACUUGAUGUCAGCGUCAGUUGCGCAUGUGCGUUCCUCUCUGGAACGCAUGCAAACUUUAUUUGGACAUUGGAUCCACAUAUUUAAUAUAUGUAAAAAGGC